rnacentral:rRNA from 1 species
AGUAGUCACGAGUUUGAUCAUGGCUCAGAGACGCUGGCGGCAUGCCUAACACAUGCAAGUCGAACGAGACCUUCGGGUCUAGUGGCGCACGGGUGCGUAACGCGUGGGAAUCUGCCCUUGGGUUCGGAAUAACUUCGGGAAACUGAAGCUAAUACCGGAUGAUGACGUAAGUCCAAAGAUUUAUCGCCUAAGGAUGAGCCCGCGUAAGAUUAGCUUGUUGGUGAGGUAAAAGCUCACCAAGGCGACGAUCUUUAGCUGGUCUGAGAGGAUGAUCAGCCACACUGGGACUGAGACACGGCCCAGACUCCUACGGGAGGCAGCAGUGGGGAAUAUUGGACAAUGGGCGAAAGCCUGAUCCAGCAAUGCCGCGUGAGUGAUGAAGGCCUUAGGGUUGUAAAGCUCUUUUACCAGGGAUGAUAAUGACAGUACCUGGAGAAUAAGCUCCGGCUAACUCCGUG